rnacentral:lncRNA from 1 species
GUGGGCCCUGGGAGGCCCAGGAACAGGUAGACCUGGAGUGGUUUGACCCAGAACGCUUCUUUUCAAUCCUGCUCAGGCAGUCUCUGUCGGUGACAACGAAAAUCAGCCAGAUGAAGGAAGAGGCAGCAUCCGAACAUCAGAAGCGGCCAUCCUCCCCUACGUGCCCUACCCAACCUGUCCUGCCACAGGCUGCCCUCCUGCCACCUGCUUGCCCAUCCUGCAGCCGAGAAGGACAUCACAGCUGGGGGCUCUCAUGACAGACCCCGCAACCGGCAUUGAGGUGCCUGUGCUGGCUGUGACUCUACAUCCUCAAACAAGGCAGUGGCUCACUCUUGGGGGCACAUACUGCAAUCCUCUCACCAAGACUGUGGCCCCUCUAGAGUUGGGGGGCCCCAUGGAGGAUCCAGUCACAGGAAGCAUCUCACCGAUCCUGGGAGUCGGGUUGGAUGAAAACACAGGUGUCUGGCAGCCCUCCGUGCCCUGACCUGGCUUCCCAAUUCCCCCAGCCCCCAGCAACCCCCAGGUUCUGGACCUGGCAGCAAACUACCCCAGACCCAUCUUUCCAUCCUGUAUCCUCACUCUGCUCUCACCCCACCUUUGUUCUCAGUCUUAGCUUCCCUGUCCCCUUCCCCAUCUCCAGCGCAGUGUCUCAGGGAGAAAAAAAGAGACCCGAGCUGGUUAUGCAGUAAAAGCAAAGGAUGUUUCCAACUAAGAAGGGGCAUUCCUCCUCCUGCCACCCUGGGCCCUGUCCCUCUUCCCGUACACUCCCCCACCCCAACUUUUCAUCCCCCAGCCCUGUCCCUCCCUUGGUCUGGAGGACCCAGUUCUCCCUCCCCCACUCUCUCUCCAUCAUCUCUGCUCGGUCCCCUUCCUACCUCACCCUCUUGGGUUCCCAUCUCCAGGUCAGGUGCUUGCACUGGGUGGGCUGCGAGAUGCCUUGGGGAACCUUAUGCUUCCUGGUGACAGCUUUGAGGAGCCGCUGAGCCAGAAGACAGUCCGGCUGCAGGGAGCUUCUCAACAGGAGGGCCGGACAGUGCCCCACAUGGGAGGAUCACAGGCCCUUCUGGAUGCCAACGUGCUGCUGGCCCAGAAGAGAGUGAUCUCCAUGCUCCGGAACUGCCAGGAGAGGCCGGGGUCAAGGACACAGGGGCUUCUGGAAGUUGCCAUCAAGGACAUGAGACAGGCACUGGCCUUGAGUCUACACCAUGUCCUUCAGCAGUCUCGGAGACUGGAGCGGCAGCUGGGGACGGCAGAGGGCAUCGCGGCCAGCGGUGGGAGAAUAGGAAUGAUGUGCUAUCCUGGGACCGAGCUGUGGGUCCCAAGUCCUGUAUGGGAUGGAGAUUCCAGACCCUGAGGGCUCAGGGCUCAUGGUGCCCAUCCUGGGCAUGGAGACUGAUGGGGAUUCUGGUGACGCCACACCCCUGGCAGGUUCAAUGGAGGAUGCUGACGGCAAAGGUAAGUGGAACUGAGGGCCCAUGAAAGCCCCAGGGGGAUCAGGGAUGUGACUUAGCCCUGGGUGAAAAAGCCCUGGAAAGCUCAGGAGGGGUACCCCCUGUCUACUUACUCAUGAGCCAUGGAAUGGAGUCAUUCUGACACCUCCACUAAGGCUGCUGAGACCCAAAAUAAAGUGCUCAGAAACCACUUUAUUUUUUUCCAGAACCACAGGGCCACAGGUCAUUUAUCCCCCACUGAGAAAAUUGAAUCCUUUCAAAAACCAGCAGUCCCAAACCUCACCCUCAGGAUCUGUGGUCUCCAAGAAGCCCUCCAAUUCAGCUCAGAACCCCUCGAAGGGCAAAAGGGGUUCUAAGGGCUCCUUCGGCUCCCUUCCCACCAUGUUUACCUCUUUCCAUGACCACCCCUUCCUUCUU